rnacentral:rRNA from 1 species
UACGAAGGACCCAAGCGUUAUCCGGAUUUAUUGGGUUUAAAGGGUGCGUAGGCGGAUUAUUAAGUCAGUGGUGAAAGCCUGCAGCUUAACUGCAGAACUGCCAUUGAUACUGAUGAUCUUGAGUAUGAUUGAGGUGGGCGGAAUGUGUCAUGUAGCGGUGAAAUGCUUAGAUAUGACACAGAACACCGAUUCGCGAAGGCAGCUCACUAGCUAUAACUGACGCUGAUGCACGAAAGCGUGGGGAGCAAACAGGAUUAGAA